rnacentral:tRNA from 1 species
AGGGGCGUAUCUCAAAGGCAGAGUGACGGUCUCCAAAACCGUUAAUGGGAGUUCGAAUCUCUCCGCCCCUG